GGAAAAGCUUCGAUGAGGUGGGGAUAGGAGAGGCUUCAACGGCAAGGGAAACCCCAGUACCAGGCACAUGUGAUGAGAUUCGCGAGCACCAUCAGAGGCCACAUCAUAUGGUCCAUGAUCAUCAUCAACAACAGCCGCAACNNNNNNNNNNNNAGAUUGCUAACACAGCCUUCCACAUCAGCAGGCCUUCACAUCCCAUCUCCGCCAUCAUCUCUCCUCCACCCCUCCAUCACACAUCCAUCAUUCUUGAAGAAGACCCCUAUCAUGUCUCC
rnacentral:misc_RNA from 1 species